ensembl:lncRNA
CGUCGAAAGACGAUAAAAAUAGCAGCAACACUUGUGCACUUCUUGCUGAACAUGGUCACGUACAGGUGAAAGGUUUUAUCAGACAAGGAUUUAUUGGACAUUUGACACUAUUAAAUCAUGGGGACAGGUUUGAGGAUGAUGAGAUGGAAAGACAAGAAAAUCCGAUUUAUGGAAAUAUAUGUUUAGAGGGAGGAGGAGCUUUUGAAAUCUCUCAGGAGGUGUGCUAUGAACAAAUGUCACAUGCAAACACAGCAAAGCAGGGAUUAAAGGUCCAGCCAGGGGACGUGUCCUAUGCCUCUCUUGAUCUGACUGCCAAUAAAAAGCGUAGGAAGAAGAGAAAAUACCAAAAACAGGCUCAGACUCACCAGGCCCAGACACAUCCUCAACCUGCAUCCCAGCAGAUCUGCAUGGACCAGGAUGACGAGCCUGAUGUCACCCUCCCGUCCCGGAGCAGCAGCCUCCUGAUUUCACGUCACAGCAUCUACCUCAACAGUCAUCAAGUAGCCCUGGAGGCAGAAGAGAGGGAGAGGGAGAGGGAGAGAGAGAGGGAGAGAGAGAUGGAAAUUGAAAGAGAAAGAGAAAGAGAUGAUAAUGUAGAGAGAGAGUUUGAUAUGCACAGAAAUGUGCAUGAAGGCUUUGAUCACUCCCUCGGUAGAUCAAGACAAAGUCUAAAACUGGACAGUUAACAGUUAGAAAGUAAAAAAAAAACAACAACAAAAAAAACUUUAGCGUCUUACUUGUAAAAACACAGGAUACUGUAGGGUGGGGCUGUCAGCGACUGUGAUAUUUUAAGCUCAUCUCUACCCCAAAUCAUAAUUUCUGUGCAUUCAAAAGCAUGCAGAGGAGACCAGCUAUCUGAUCUUGUGUCCAAUCGAGACACAUAUAAAGGAGUUCACCACUUUAAAUCUGCUUUCUUGUUUCUUGCAUUUGAAGGUUGGUCUGUUUGUUGUACUUAUAAGAAGAAUAUAUUAACAAAUAUUUAUCUGCUUACUUUUAUGUUUUUUUUUUUUUAGAUUUUCAGGAUAACAGGCUAUAAAUGCAUAUUUGUGCAAAUAAGGUUGACUCAAGUCAUUUGAUGUAGAUACAGUAUGCACAGAAUAAUAAGGACAGUUUCAUAGCUAUUAUUCAGAGUUGUUGUAAUAUUUUUGUGGCUUUGUCUUGAUAUUAAAUGUCUUGGUGACUCUAUUUUUGUAUCUGUAAUUCUUUGUUUAAAAAGCUUUGAAGAAUGUCUGAAGAUGCAAAAAAUUACCACAAAAUUUAUCAAAUAUUUAUGCCAACUAUGAAAAAUUCUCAGUUUGCUUUGCUAGAACCUGUCAGAUGAAAGAAAAAAUAGUGAGACAUACUGCAAAAGCUUUAUUACACUCCUUAACCACUUUUGUUAAUAAAAAGAAAAGAAGAAAAAAGAAAGUAAAAAGUCUU